GACAGAGGUGCCAAGCGUUAGGCGGAAUCACUGGGCUUAAAGCGUGUGUAGGCGGGCCGAAUAGUACCUUUGUGAAAAUCCCCCCCGGCUCAACCCGGGGGAACGGCUGGGGUAUACUGUCGGUCUUGAGCCACCUAGGGGCAGUCGGAACAAGUGGUGGAGCGGUGAAAUGCGUAGAUAUCACUUGGAACGCCAAUGGUGAAAAACAGACUGCUGGGGGGUGUGCUGACGCUGAGACACGAAAAGCCAGGGGGAGCAAAACGGGG
rnacentral:rRNA from 1 species